CUAAAAUUAUCAGGCAGUCAAAGAAGAUAAGUAGAUCUGCUAGUCAAAAGAGAAAAACAAUAGCUUUUUCUGUAAUAUUUCUACGAAAAGGCAAAACAAUUAAUGGCCAAUAAUUUUUAAAUGUGCUCGCACACACCAUCUCAACUGGUCCUCAAAAGAAUCUUACAGAAAUAGAAGCAUAUGAGGGAAUAAAGGAUGUGACAGAGACCACUCGGUUCCAUCACUUGCUAACCCUGGGAACUUGGAGUAUUGAAAUCAAAUAGGUACUUAAAGCAUAUCUCAACAUGGACCAUCCAUGCUUCAAGGGUUUAGUAACCAUCUGCAGCUAGUGGCUAUUGCCCUGGACAGUGCUUAAGGGAAGGCCAAGAAGAGAAUGGGGAAGAGUGAAGAUAAGGGUAUUGGCAGCUUCAUCCGGUUCACCUCAGUGCUCUCCCAGAGAAAGAGGUGACAUGCCUGCCUAGAAGGAAAGUGAGGGGUGGAUGUGAAGGGAAGAUCGGAUUUGGAGCAGGUGACAGGCAAAUCCUUACAAACCAGUAAACUGGGACUCUUCAUGAAUUCUUGCACUCUCAGUGAGAUUUGUAGUGACAGUUUUCGGUUCAAAAGUGCAUUCUUGUAACUAGACUACAUGGGAUCAUCCAGUGGAAUGAAGUCCAGUAUCACAUACACAGCUGUACUCUGAGAAGUAAUUUUAGACGUCAAGAUAAUGUAUGUCGAAGCUGUGCAAAACCACAACCCACCAGUGGAUCACGAUGCCUUUUGGCAAAUGCUGUUUAUUGUGUUAGUCUCUGGCUGUACAAUGAUCUGGAAAGCUGAACGACUGGAAUUUGUCACUUAAGCCAUUCAUCCUCAGCUGCCAAGAGGUGGGCACAUUCUGACCUCUGGAAUUAAAGUUGGGCAGAGUUCCAUACACUAUCCUACUAAGAAUGUGGUCACUAUAGCUCCAAUAAAGACAUCCUGUUUCAGCAA